CUGCCGGUUGCCUUUUGGCCUGGGCGGCGGUCCUGGCUGCUGGCCGACUACCGCCCCACAUCAUAAAGCUCCGCAUCAUGCGGCUCCAAGUACUGCUGUGGGUGCUGAGGCUUCCUGUCCGCAGCGCCAAGGUUGCAGAGGAAAGUGGUCACUUAUGGUGGAGGAGCAGCCAGCUCAUCCUCUCCAGGUAGGGGCUGUGUACCUGGAUGAGGAGGAGCUCCCACAUGACCAGAUGGGCCAGGACAGGGCAGCAGAAGAGGCCGAUGCGGUGCCAGGGUUGGAUACUCAAGGCGAUCGCAGGGUGAUGCUGUCUGUGAUUUCUGGGGAAGUUGAGGACAAAGUGAGUUCAGAGCCUACUGGCAGCACCUGUAGCACUGGAGGAGCUGAGGACUCAAGGUGCAACCUCCCAGGAGGACUCAAAGUGCAACCUCCGUGAGAGCCUUUUCUCUCUGGACGGUGCUGGAGCACACUUCCCUGAUAAAGAAGAGGAGAAUUACACUGAGCCAGAAGUGGUGGAAUCGGACGCAGCCCAGACAGAAGACUCCAAUAGCACUGAAAGUCUGAAAUCCCCAAAAGUGAACUGUGAGGAGAGAACCAUUACGGGAUUAGGAAAUUUCACUCUGAAAAUUUUAAAUAUGUCACAGCCUUUCUACCAGGUUUGGCACUGUAGCCAUUCCUAAUAUUUUGUUAUUUCAAGGAGCUAAACCAGUGGCUAGAUUUAAUCAUACAGAUCGAACAUUGGAAACACUGAAAAUCUUCAUUUUUAAUCAGGCAGGUAUAGAAGCCAAGAAGAAUGUGGUUGUAACUCAAGCCAACCAAAUAGGCCCUCUUCCCAGCACUUUGAUAAAAAGUGUGGACUGGUUGCUUGUAUUUUCCUUAUUCUUUUUAAUUAGUUUUAUUAUGUAUGCUACCAUUCGAACUGAGAGUAUUCUAUGGCUCAUUCCAGGACAAGAGCAGGAACAUGUGGAGUAGUGAUGGACUGAAAGAAGUUGGAAAGAGGAACCUCAAUCCUUUGUUUCAGAAAUUAGGGCCACAGUUUCAUACAUUUUCUCCAGUGAAGUGUUGACUUGAAACUUCAGUCCGAUUAAAAGAAUCAUGCAUUUGUUGAACUACUGAAAGUAUAAAAAUAUUAUAAACUGGUGUUUUAACUAGUAUUGCAAUAAGUAAAUGCAAAAAUAUUCAGUAGA